rnacentral:lncRNA from 1 species
UGAAUCCACUUCUUCCUUAGACUCAAUUCAGUCGGGAAUCCUUGAAAACUUAAGUAGGGUUGGUGUUGUUUGUUAGAUGUACAAAGUGGAACAGAGCAGUGACAUCUAGCCUUUGUUUCAGCCAUUGUUGAAGUGCGCCGGAAGUGUUCAUGCACAACGAAGACAAAUCCCGCCACCGGAACCCGGAAGCGUGAUAAUCCCUUAUUGGCCUUUUUAGUAUUUUAUUAUGAACUACUGUGGUAGAAAUUAUACCAAUUAUAUUAUAAUAGACAAUUAUCGAUCCUUAUCAAUUGUUCAAGUGCAGAUACAAUCAAGAGGCAGAUCAAUGCUUCUCCAACGUCGUAGGAAUGGUCCACCUGCCAGCUUGUCCCCCUUAGGGUCCAGUCGCUCAGCGGGUUGUCUUCGUGAGUGUUCGGAACUGUUAAAAAAACUGCUUAAAAGAGGACGUUGUAAUGUUGAAGCGUAUAUGUUUCAGUUCACACAAAUUGAAAGCUGAGUUUAAUCUCCUCGCCACGCAACGAAAGGAACCUGUUGUGACUCGUCAGUUUUCCCCUCCCGCUUAUAGACCAUGUUGCUAUUGGAGCUGCUCCCAUAGCUGCUAUUGGAGCUGCUCCCAUAGCUGCUAUUGGGGCUACUCCCAUAGCUGCUAUUGGAGCUACUCCAAAGCAACAACUGGGCGGCCGUUUGCCCUCUCUUCUUCGAUUAUGUUCCAAUAAUUGCAAAGUAUUCCCUCCGUACACGGUCAUUCAACACUGACAGAGUGUUUUGUAACUAACAGUUACAUUGCAGGACUCGGAUGUAGUAGAUAUAUAUAUAUAUAUAUAUAUCAUAUAUAUAUAUAUAUAUAUAUAUAUAUAUAUAUAUAUAUAUAUAUAUAUAUAUCAUAUAUAUAUAUAUAUAUAUAUAUAUAUAUAUGCUAUAUAUAUAUAUAUGCUAUAUAUAUAUACAUGCUAUAUAUAUAUAUAUAGGCUAUAUAUAUAGGCUUUAUAUAUAUAUCUAUAUAUCUAUAUGUCUAUAUAUCUAUAUAUAUAUGUAUGGCAUUGCAUUGCAUAUGGCAUUGCAUUUCUGACCACAUGACCAAGGGUUAAACGGUGAAAGAUGGAACACGUAGAUGGCCCGUUGCUGUAUUCUACAGAAGUGGUGGCCAAUCUUAGACUUUAGGUGUAGGCCUAUCACAUAAUGGACAUCAACACCUUUGGCGGACUACUUCAUAUGGCAACGGUAAAAAAAAAGAGAUAAAUACAACUGCGGUGGCUGAGCAAAGAGUGCCAGCUGGAAGACCAGUUCUGUAGACAGCUGCAGGCAACACGACAAUGGUGCUCCAUGUUGACAUUCAGGAGAUCCUGUUUGAACAAGCAAAUCCUGUUGGCGCAAGCAAGGCACUGCCUAUGCAAAGCAAGGCCUAUAUGGGACCGGAUUAACUUAUUCUUGCCGUGUACGUCGGAUCGGAUACUUUAUGUUAUGAACCCUCCUGUUUAGCUUUUUAUUUUAUUUUCUAACUGGAACUGUUAAACUGCUUAAAAGAGGACGUUGUAAUGUUGAAGCGUAUAUGUUUCAGUUCACACGAAUUGAAAGCUGAGUUUAAUCUCCUCGCCACGCAACGAAAGAAACCUGUUGUGACUCGUCAGUUUUCCCCUCCCGCUUAUAGACCAUGUUGCUAUUGGAGCUACUCCCAUAGCUGCUUUUGGAGCUACUCCCAUAGCUGCUUUUGGAGCUACUCCCAUAGCUGCUAUUGGAGCUACUCCAAAGCAACAACUGGGCGGCCGUUUGCCCUCUCUUCUUCGAUUAUGUUCCAAUAAUUGCAAAGUAUUCCCUCCGUACAUGGUCAUUCAACACUGACCAAGUGUUUUGUAAAUAACAGUUAGUUACAUUACAGGACUCGGAUGUAUAUAUAUAUAUAUAUAUAUAUAUAUAUAUAUAUAUAUAUAUAUAUAUAUAUAUAUAUAUAUAUAUAUAUAUAUAUUGCAUUGCAUUGCAUUGCAUAUGGCAUUGAAUUUCUGACCACAUGACCAAGGGUUAUACGGUGAAAGAUGGAACACGUAGAUGGCCCGUUGCUGUAUUCUACAGAAGUGGUGGCCAAUCUUAGACUUUAGGUGUAGGCCUAUCACAUAAUGGACAUCAACACCUUUGGCGGACUACUUAAUAUGGCAACGGUAAAAAAAAAGAGAUAAAUACAACUGCGGUUGCUGAGCAAAGAGUGCCAGCUGGAAGACCAGUUCUGUAGACAGCUGCAGGCAACACGACAAUGGUGCUCCAUGUUGACAUUCAGGAGAUCCUGUUUGAACAAGCAAAUCCUGUUGGCGCAAGCAAGGCACUGCCUAUGCAAAGCAAGGCCUAUAUGGGACCGGAUUAACUUGUUCUUGCCGUGUACGUCGGAUCGGAUACUUUAUGUUAUGUAAAAUACAGUUAAAAAUAAGGGAACUAAAAUACAACUGGGGUUGUUGUCUGUCUCAGAUGUAAUUUGACGACAUCCCCACGGUGACGACCAGGCGCAUCGUUAGACCUGGGCAUUCGAGGCUAGCCCCGGAUCUUUUGGGAAUAGCACUUAAUUGACAUCAAGACCUUUGGCGGACUACUUCAUAUGGCAAUGGUAAAAAAAAGAUGAAUACAAAUUCAGUGUAUAAGCAAAGAGUGCCAGCGGGGCCCCCUUCAUACACAAGUUCUGUAAGAAGGCACUGGCCAGUGGGAGACCGAGAAGAGAGGGUCUGAAACGCUGCUCAUCCUCCCAGGGGGUUUAUUUAGCAGUCGAGAUUUACACAAAACAUCAAUGGUAAACGUUAUUGCGCAAAAACUUCAAUGGAAAGCAGAAAGAGACACUAUUAAAGUUAAUGUCCACACCUGUUUGAGCACGCAAACAGAGCACUGCUCUGUUUGCGUGCUCAAACAGGUGCCCGGCCUCACCCAGCUCCAGAGUCACUUCAGUCUGACUGAAGACAACCAUGCAGACUCUCAUGCCAGGGGCCAAGUCUCUCCCUAAACUUUGUCUGUGCAAUGCAUAGGCAAGGCAAACCCAUGAUUCGCGCAAGGUGAUCCAGCCCUAGGUACAAGGUGAGGGUGCCGUUUCAUUGCAGACAGUCUUCAGAGAGAGAAAGAGAGAUUACUAUUUAUGUCACGACUCAGAACGGGAAUCAAUUGCAGAUCAAACAAGGGUUUAUUCACAAACAGUCCAGCAGGCGAAUCAGACUCCAGGUACAGGCAGGGUUCGUAAACAGGCAGGCAGGCCGCGGAUACAGAUGGACAGGUACAGGCAAGAGAUCCAAAACCGACAGGGAGAAGACUUAGUCCAAAACAGGUGGGGUUCAAAACCGGGAAGAGCAGUAAACUAUAGCUUCUCUUUAGAGCUUCACGCUAGUCUCACUCACGUGGCUGUCAGGUACUGGAGUAUCUAGGGAAAUGUGGCUCUGUGACCGGGUACUGUGAUAUACGGAAUUGAAUUUAAACAGGUAAAAAGGCAGCUUCCCAAGGAGGGCUCUGUGAAUAAAAAGAAGGCAGUGCCUAUCCCUCCUAACAGACUAUGAGGGCCACCCCACAUUUUUGUACAGUGCCCAAUGCUGAGUUUAAAAUGGUCUCCAGUGAUAAAACGGAUGGCACUGUGAUAGACAUUGUCAAGAGGUUUUAAAACGGGGCAGCAUGCAUACACAAUGUCCCCAUAGUCCAAAACUGACAAAAUUGUUGACAUUCAGUAAUAAAAAAAUAAUUAAUAACAACACACACACACACACGCACGCACGCACGCACGCGCACACACACACACACACACACACACACACACACACACACACACACACAAUAUGCUGGUUCUUUCAGUCCAAACCGUAUUGUAUUUUAUAGGCUACAAUAUCCGGUGGCCCUGAAGUGCAAAACACAACAGGAUUAGAGAGACCAAAACUGGAAAGGAAGGUACAGCUUCUUUUUAUUUUUUUCAAGAGGUUGGUAGUUAUUGAACAAUGAGGCCUUGUCUUGAUUUGAUAGCGUGUGUCAGAUACAUUUGAACCAGAACUAAAAUACCAGGCAGAUCAUUUAGAACAAGUUCUUAUUUACAGUGAUGGCCUGACAAAAAGUGCAAGCUUCAUAGGGGGGAAGGGGAAAGGGGCAGUGAGAAAGGAUAGGUUAGAGGCAACAGCACACAAACACAGCUGUAUAGACAUACAACAAGGCAGCAACAGGGACCUGCAGGGUUAACAUACAGGUACUCAGACAAACAACAAGCAUGAAAGUUGGAAAGCGGCCAAAACCGUUUGGCCGCAACAGCCAAUCAAAUUCGAUCGCGAAGCCGCCAAACAGGAAGUAAGACAUUUUCUCAGCAGCCCUUCCACAUAUCGUAACCAAACUUAGUACAUAGACCCAUGACAUCAUCAUGGUGACACUCAUCAAAUUUGGCCCUAUAAUUAAUGAAGAUGUGUUAUAACUCCUCUCACUUGAGUAUAUUUCAAACUUAUUUUCAAGGUCUGGUGAUACUGUCAGACCUCCCCAUAUAUCUAAUAAAUUAUUUCUCAUGGACGCAUCAGAAUUUGGCUACCAUUUGAAAGUUGUCCACCUCCAUAGUACAUAUCCACCGGCCACAAAUUCUUUCUAAUCUUCAUGAAACAUGCCUGAUA